rnacentral:rRNA from 1 species
CAGCAGCCNCGGUNAUACNUAGGGUGCAAGCGUUGUCCGGAAUUACUGGGCGUAAAGGGAGCGCAGGCGGACCGGCAAGUUGGAAGUGAAAACUAUGGGCUCAACCCAUAAAUUGCUUUCAAAACUGCUGGCCUUGAGUAGUGCAGAGGUAGGUGGAAUUCCCGGUGUAGCGGUGGAAUGCGUAGAUAUCGGGAGGAACACCAGUGGCGAAGGCGACCUACUGGGCACCAACUGACGCUGAGGCUCGAAAGCAUGGGUAGCAAGCAGGAUUAGAUACCCUGGUAGUCCAUGCCGUAAACGAUGAUUACUAGGUGUUGGAGGAUUGACCCCUUCAGUGCCGCAGUUAACACAAUAAGUAAUCCACCUGGGGAGU